GUUUUCCUUGAAUGGCUUUGAUUAUGUACCUGUGAAAACAUCUAUUAAGGUCUACUUCAAUUUAUUACCAUAACUUACUGUGUUAUGGUUAUAAUUAAGAAGUACUACCAGCUUUGGGGGGACGUGGGUGGCGCUGUGGGUUAAACCACAGAGCCUAGGACUUGCUGUUCAGAAGGUCGGAGGUUCGAAUCCCCACGAUGGGGUGAGUUGAUUGGUCCCUGCUCUUGCCAACUAGCAGUUCGAAAGCACAUCAAAGUGCAAGUAGAUAAAUAGGUACCACUCUGGCGGGAAGGUAAACGGCAUUUCCGUGCACUGCUCUGGUUCGCCAGAAGCGGCUUAGUCAUGCUGGUCACAUGACCCGGAAGCUUUAUGCCUGCUCCCUCGGCCAAUAAAUUGAGAUGAGCGCCACAACCCCAGAGUCGGCCAUGACUGGACCUAAUGGUCAGGGGUCCUUUUACCUUUACCUUUACCAGCUUUGGAGUGGGCCAAAUUUCCAGGUACUGCAUUCUCCAAUUCAAGCCAAGGAAUUGAAUAGUUUGUGGUGAUGGCAACUUCUUUUCCCCUUCCACAUUGUCAAGGCCUUCUCCUGCAUCAAGCAAAACUAAUGCAUAGUAGAGGUGAGGAACUGUUCUCCUCUUCUCCUCAUGGCCCAAGCUUGAUAGGUGAGCAAGGACACACCAGUGAGGAAGUUAGACAAGAACUUUACUGUCUCUCUUAAGAAGAGAACAGAAAUACAAUGCUCUUGAUACAAUUAAUGUCAGUGCCAGCUAGCGACUAAUUUGUAUAAUGACACUAUCCCUGCACAAAUGAUUGGCAGGAUCAUCAGAAGGAUCCUUCCAUUCCCCUGUGUUAAAUUCUAUCACCAAGCACCAACAGACUCCCAAACCAUCAAGGGCAACAUUUUAAAAACAAUCAGGCAACACUGGCUGUAUAUUUCCCCUCUAACCCUCUAUCUUUCCUGGGUUGCGUUGGAAUUGAGUUAAUAAGCUGUUGCAGUGAAGAUGCUGCUCUAAUGAAGAACGAACAAAACAUAGUCCUUUCCAGUGGCAAUUACUUCAUGACAUGCCAGUGUUAAUAAUUUUUGAACAGCUGGCACCCAAACACUGCAGAAUAAUCAGCUUAGUUGUUGCCUAAGUAAUUCAUUCAAUCCUGACUGAUUCAUAUUUUGUUUCAGGAUGUAAAUGCUGAAUAAACAGCUCUUAUGCUAAUGCAUCGCCUGCUCUGAUAACAUGACAUCCUACAUCAGUUUUCAAGGACCACCUGAAGUCAUGCAAAUAAAUUAUUUGGCCUUAAUGAAGACAAC